rnacentral:tRNA from 1 species
GCGUCCGUAGCUCAGCUGGAUAUGAGUACCUGGCUACGAACCAGGCGGUCAGAGGUUCGAAUCCUCUCGGACGCGCCA